rnacentral:rRNA from 1 species
GAUGAACGCUGGCGGCGUGCCUAAUACAUGCAAGUCGAGCGAAUGGAUUAAGAGCUUGCUCUUAUGAAGUUAGCGGCGGACGGGUGAGUAACACGUGGGUAACCUGCCCAUAAGACUGGGAUAACUCCGGGAAACCGGGGCUAAUACCGGAUAACAUUUUGAACCGCAUGGUUCGAAAUUGAAAGGCGGCUUCGGCUGCCACUUAUGGAUGGACCCGCGUCGCAUUAGCUAGUUGGUGAGGUAACGGCUCACCAAGGCAACGAUGCGUAGCCGACCUGAGAGGGUGAUCAGCCACACGGGGACUGAGACACGGCCCAGACUCCUACGGGAGGCAGUAGUAGGGAAUCUUCCGCAACGGACGAAAGUCUGACGGAGCAACGCCGCGUGAGUGAUGAAGGCUUUCGGGUCGUAAAACUCUGUUGUUAGGGAAGAACAAGUGCUAGUUGAAUAAGCUGGCACCUUGACGGUACCUAACCAGAAAGCCACGGCUAACUACGUGCCAGCCGCCGCAGUAA